GGGUGCGAUCAUACCAGCACUAAUGCACCGGAUCCCAUCAGAACUCCGCAGUUAAGCGUGCUUGGGCGAGAGUAGUACUAG
rnacentral:rRNA from 2 species